AUUAAAUGUUUUUGGGCAUUUUAUAUUCUUUUGAUCCAUUGAGCACGUUUACUUGGGAUGUAAUUCAAAUGCAAUUAUUACCGCAAUCAUAAUGUUGUAUUUUAGUUCUAAAAUAUCAUUUCUUCUUCUUCUUUUUUUCUUUUUUUUUUCCUUUUUAAUUUUUUGAUAGUGAUAAUCUUUGUCCAACAUAUUUGUUGACAAACUAUAGUGGGAAGAGGAGAGAUGCAAACAAGGCGUUUGAAAUUUUAUGUAAUUGUAGGAUUUAUCCAAUUCUAUCUGAUGCUAGCACUUGGGAGAAAAAACCUUAGCAUUAGUCUUAAUUGUUUCUAGUGGUAAGUAAUGUAAUCUGUUGCAAAAUAGUAUAAUAUAUUAAUUAUUCUUGGUUGUUUGAAGAGGUUUGAUAACGUUAAAUAUAUUCUUUUGUUUCUUUAUAAAUAUUUUUUUUCCCGGUUGUGCUACAUACAUGUACAUAUAGUUGACAUACACGCACGAUGUGAUGAAAUAUGCUUGGAUCAGAAUUUCUCCAACUUAAAAAAAAAAAAAAAGAACUUCCUCACUCUUUUUUGACACUCAGCUGUAUAUAAAUUAUUAUGUAACUCCUUAUAUACAAGUAGCAUUAUUCAAUUUGUUUUGGUUAAACUUUGAAAUUUAAUGCUGAUUAAUAUAAUAUUUUCUUAAAUUUUAAAAUUGUAAUAGGGAUUGAUCUGAAGUGCGAUAGAUAUAUAAAGUGGCGUUGAUAUAAGGUGUUUAAAUGAAUGAAUUUAAUAAAGAUAAUGUUGGAAUGCAAUGGAAUAUAGUACUUUUUUAAAAUUUUAGAACUUUUAUAGGUUUAGAUUUAGAGUGAGAUACAUAUAUUGGAAUGGUGGAUGAAAAUAGCGGCUUUCUAAAUUUAUUUGAACUGAUAUUUCCACUAGGCAGGCUGAUUUGAUUUUCUGAUUCGAUGGGUAGAAUUUUCAAAUUUUGGAAAGUUGAGGUGUCAUCUUAAUUUGAGAGUUAUCUUUGUUAGAUUUAACUUCAGGGAUACUUUGAUGUUGCAGUACAUUAUAGGAACAUACACUCGAUCAAUUAGGUUUUUGCUAACUUUUGCAAGAGGUAAAAUUUCAUUGCUGGUCUUCAAUAAAUGGCAAUUCAGUAUUUUAUUUAUUUUUAUUUUUAUUUAUUUUUAAUUGAGGGGUUAGAUUUCUGGGGGAAAAAUAACUGGAGCAUUUUUAGGAGAACCAGUAUUAUAUCAAUUUUUUAUGGGAACUUCCUGAAGGUGCAAUCACCUUGCCUCGGGGAUCAGAAAAUGGGUAUAAUCUCCUCUAUAUUUUUCCCUCAUCCUUUCAGAAGUUCUUCUGAUUUAUAGUUAUCUAAUGGUAAAAAAGCUAAACUGUAGUAUUUGAAUAUUCAUAUGAAUGCAUUCAUAUCUGUAGGAGGACAUCCUCCUUCCCUCCACUACCUCCUGAAAAAAUAAAAAAUUUCAUCUUUGUUAUAUUUUGAAAGCUCUUUGUCUAAAAUAUUUGAUUUAUUUUCUUUUUUGCAGUGCAUUUUGCUCCUGGUCCUGAAUUCUAUUGCUAGUGUUUCCUGUAUCACGAGCUGAGACUGUGAUUUUUGGUGUGUACUGGCAAUGCUUCUCAAAUUUUACAUAUAUGUAUUGUGUAAAUGUCAAUAAACUUAUUUUCAAGCGAAGUUUUCCUUCUGCUGCACUAAGGAUUGUGCUUCAUCUCUAUGGCAUUCUCAAGUUAUUAAUAGCAUUGUGGUGUCACCAGUUGUUUCCAUUGAAGUUGAAUUGGAGGGAAAAGAAAUUCAGUAUUAUCAAAAUGGAACAAUCAAGAAGUCAUAAUUUUGUGCUAUAUAAUCCCCCAGAUCACGGAAACAAUGAACAUGCUCCUGAAUCUCGAGUGUUCCAGGUGGAUCCUUUAGGUC
rnacentral:lncRNA from 1 species